GCGGCGAUAGCUCAGUGGGUAAAGCGCCAGGUGAGUAGUGAUUAAGAUUACCCGGGAGAGCUACAUCCGCGCGGGUUCGAAUCCCGCCUGUAGCA